rnacentral:rRNA from 1 species
GCGACAGGCUUAACACAUGCAAGUCGAGGGGCAGCGGGGUAGUGCUUGCACUACUGCCGGCGACCGGCGCACGGGUGAGUAACACGUAUGGAACCUGCCCGCAGCAGGGGGAUAAGCGGAAGAAAUUCCGUCUAAUACCGCGUAACAACGUUGGGAGGCAUCUCCCGAUGUUUAAAGAUUUAUCGGCUGCGGAUGGCCAUGCGGCGCAUUAGCUAGUCGGCGGGGUAACGGCCCACCGAGGCGACGAUGCGUAGGGGUUCUGAGAGGAAGGUCCCCCACACUGGUACUGAGACACGGACCAGACUCCUACGGGAGGCAGCAGUGAGGAAUAUUGGUCAAUGGCCGAGAGGCUGAACCAGCCAAGUCGCGUGAGGGAAGACGGCCCUACGGGUUGUAAACCUCUUUUGUCGGGGAGCAAAGCGAACCACGUGUGGUUCAUUGAGAGUACCCGAAGAAAAAGCAUCGGCUAACUCCGUGCCAGCAGCCGCGGUAAUACGGAGGAUGCGAGCGUUAUCCGGAUUUAUUGGGUUUAAAGGGUGCGCAGGCGGAGGUGCAAGUCAGCGGUCAAAUUGCGGGGCUCAACCCCGUACUGCCGUUGAAACUGCAUCCCUUGAGUGCGCGAGAAGUAUGCGGAAUGCGUGGUGUAGCGGUGAAAUGCAUAGAUAUCACGCAGAACUCCGAUUGCGAAGGCAGCAUACCGGCGCGCAACUGACGCUCAUGCACGAAAGCGUGGGUAUCGAACAGGAUUAGAUACCCUGGUAGUCCACGCAGUAAACGAUGAACACUAACUGUUCGGCCAGAAUGAUGGCUGAGUGGUACAGCGAAAGCGUUAAGUGUUCCACCUGGGGAGUACGCCGGCAACGGUGAAACUCAAAGGAAUUGACGGGGGCCCGCACAAGCGGAGGAACAUGUGGUUUAAUUCGAUGAUACGCGAGGAACCUUACCCGGGCUCAAACGACACAGGAAUACUUUUGAAAGGAGGUAGCCCUACGGGGUCUGUGUCGAGGUGCUGCAUGGUUGUCGUCAGCUCGUGCCGUGAGGUGUCGGCUUAAGUGCCAUAACGAGCGCAACCCCUAUCGCCAGUUACCAUCAAGUAAAGUUGGGGACUCUGGCGAGACUGCCGGCGCAAGCUGAGAGGAAGGCGGGGAUGACGUCAAAUCAGCACGGCCCUUACGUCCGGGGCGACACACGUGUUACAAUGGCAGGUACAGAGAGAAGCCAGGUGGCGACACCGCGCGGAACUCGAAAGCCUGUCUCAGUUCGGAUCGGAGUCUGCAACCCGACUCCGUGAAGCUGGAUUCGCUAGUAAUCGCGCAUCAGCCAUGGCGCGGUGAAUACGUUCCCGGGCCU